GCUGCCCCCGAACCGCCGGACCGCACCGCGCGCUCGGGGACCCCGCAGGCUCCGCCGGAAGCUCAUUCCCGUCCACCUCCCUGGGCGCGCGGAUCCAGAAGGUCGCUGCCAUGCCGCUGUCCGUGCAGCAGCGUCAGGACCGGAGCCGCGACGGCUCCGGGGCAGGACGGACGGCAGCUCCGAGGGCUGCAGGCACUUCCUCCUGCCCGUCAGACGGGACCCGCAGAGGCCACAGGACGUUCGGAUUCCGGCCGUGCUCCCUCGCCUCGGCCCUCAUCGCACCUCUUUCUCGUCUAAAGGGGAGAAGCCUUAACCUCAGGCCAUUGAAGGUCAUCGCGCUGGGCUCCCGAGCACAAGGCAGGCCCUGCAAGGGGCCAAGGGACCGGGAGCCGCUGGAUUGGGACUGAAUUAACCCAGCCGCUCAGGCUUCGCUCGGCCGCUCCCGGGCCUUCCCUGUAAAAACACGAGCCGCGAGCGCUUCGGCAGGGCAUUCAGCCGGGGUCAACGACCAGGACGUCGGAAGCCGCACACCCUCCACGUUAGAAUGUGUGUGACUUGCUCGGGGACCACAGAGAAUGUGCCUGGAGUCAGGGUUCAAUGUGGCUCCCCUUUCAUUCAUUAUUUUGGCUUGCACUCAGCAGAAGAAAGUUUGGAAACAGAAAACGAUAAAUGCAAACGGUCUGCUUCCACUUCCCAGUGGCAUCAUCAGAUCCGGCAUCACCAGCAACUUCAGACUCGCAAACUGCAACUGGGUCAGACUUGGCUUUCUCGUCAGACCAGCUCGUUUCCCCAUCGAGAUCCUGACAGUCGGUGCCAAUUCCACCGACAGGAACCCCAGUGUGGGGUGCAGGAAGGAGGAGACUGAAUGCAGCGCCAACAGCUCGGUCAUGACCUGCAGGGCGUGGCCCAGCUCCACAGCGUGUCAGCUCCGUCACCAGAGGGCAGUGGGAAGCGGCAGGGCUGUGGGGAGGCCCCCGGCGCCGGCUCUGCGAUGGGGUCGCCCCCGGCGCCGGCUCUGCGAUGGGGUCAGUGGUCUCACCUCCGCUGCCUUCCGCCAGCCCGAGGGGAGCUGCCUUCUGUAAACCAGUCUCUGCCCCUGGCCCCUCAUUGGUCUGUUCUCAUGCAAAUGCUGCUCCAAAUCCGAAGUUUGAUUGGUCCAAAAGGCAUUGUCCUGAUUGGUCAGAAUAAAGUUGCUUUGUGAAGAUGCUGACGGGGGAGGGCAGAGAUGUAGACGGGGAGCUCCGAUUGGAUGAGGAGAGCCUCAGUCCUAUUGGUUGAAGCAGGAACUUCUUCCUAAGGGCCAGCUCAGGCCCAGGCCACAGUGCAGGCAGCAGUUUGGUGCAGGUUUCUCGCUGAUGCCUGGCUUGCAGGAGAAUUGCCUGUGCAGAAAAGGCUGCUAAACUCUGUGUUUUCUUUAAAUUUGAGCCCAGUCAGCUACCAGGAGCCCUUCUUAAUAGGUGUCUUCUCAGCAUCCACAAACCCAGUGAAGAAAACAGACCUAAAUCCGCCAAGAAGCAACAAAAUCUUUUCCCCAAAUUCUCUUAAAUGAUCAAAGCCCUCAGUCAGAGCCUCUGGAUAGAAUUUAAUAUAUAUACUAGUACAGAGAGAGGGAGAGAGAGUGUUUGAUGUUAUGUCUAUAAAUAUUUUUAUAUAUUCAGGUUUUUGGUUCUACUCUUCUCCCUUGGGAAAUGCCUCUAGUCCAGGGGUCCUCAACUUUUUAAACAGGGGACCAGUUCACUGUCCCUCAGACCGUUGGAGGGCCGGACUAUAGUUUAAAAAAAAACUAUGAACAAAUUCCUAUGCACGCUGCACAUACCUUAUUUUGAAGUAAAAAAACAAAACGGGAACAAAUACAAUAUUUGUAUUUGCAUGUGGCCCGCGGGCUGUAGUUUGAGGGCCCCUGCUAGUCAAAUACACAUUUAAAACUCUUCAGUCCAAGUCAACAAACACUGAUUCAGCCUUUCAAGGUAGAAUGUUAAGGAGUCACUAUGUAGAUUACAAUCCCAGCCCAUAGGUAUUUUCAAUGCUGAAAGAAUAUAAAUAUACAAUUAUACGUAAAGGCCGUUUAGGUGGAAGGAAAUUUACUUACAACUAGAAUUAAGAUGUUUAAGGUUGAUAUGGAAUUUGAAAAGUAAAAGAUUAGUAGGACAGCUACAGAUAAAGGUACUACUAGAAGCAGAAAUAAGGUUUCAAGCCCAAAAAGACUUAGAAGUGGGAAAACAGGAGGCAUAUUCAGGUACAUCGAUCAUUCCAGUUUGGCUUGAGAAUAGGAUAAAUGAAGGAAGCUUCUAGAGUUAGGGAUAAGCUGCACAGAGAGGCAGUAUGGUGUGAAGUCGAUUUUAGUUUGAAAACCAGCGUGCCACUCACUAGUUGUGCGACCUGGUUGUUAUUUAAUUCAGGUCCUCCAUUUCCUCGCUUGUGGGACUGGAAUAAUAAUGCCCAUUCAAUGACUUCACAAAUAUUUUAUGGAAAUCAGCUAUGAACUAAGGACUAUGUUAGGUGACAGGAAUAUAAUGCCUUACUAUUUACUAAGUUAGACCUGAGUUGGGCACUAACAAUACAGUGUUGAAGUGAAAAGGCCACACAACUAUGAGCCCACUUACCAUUGACGAUGCAGACACAGGUGAGGAGAAGGCCCGAGACAUGAGGCCAGAGAUACUCAUGGAGAUAGAGGAGAAGGAAGGGAACUAAGUGUCAAGCACUGUCGUGUUUCAGAAAGAGGGCCUGGCCAACUACGUCAGCUGAGAAGGUGAGUUAGAUAAAGACAGAUAAAUGUCCAUUUUAUUCAGCAUUUGAGGGCAAUUAGCAAUCUUAAUUGUUUCAGGAUAUUUCCAUGUAGUAGCAGUUUUAGAAGCUAGGUUGAAGUCAAGAAGAAAUAGGCUGCUAGGAAUUGGAUCCAAGUAGGGACAGAAGCUUGCUUGGAAAGAGCAAGAAAGAAAGAGGUCUGCUGGGUGGCUGUUUUGAAGAUAGGAGAAUCUAGAGCCCGUUUGCCUGCUGCCAAGAAUGACUCAGCAGGAGGGUGAGAAAUCGCGAUGCUGGAUAAGAGGUGAUGGCUGCUGGAAGGCAGCCCUUGAGAAGGCCAGAAGGCAAGCAGCCUCUGAUGGGAGGAAGCACAACCCAUCCUUGUAACAGGCGGAAAGCAAGUGGCUGCAGGUGAGGAGCUGAGCGAAGAUGUGCAGUGGCCCUGACUGACAGACUGACAGACUGAAAACAGGACCCUGACGCUAUCUGCUGCUCACACAGUGGCAUGUGGACUGAGGAGCUGACGUGGAGUUUGUUCUUUCCGAAAUUACUCACAGCCAAUAUACUGUGGCAGCUGAAAUCUGAACCGGGUUGUUCGGGGACGGCUGAUGCUGGGCUAAUACUAUGGUAACCAGAAUUUGUACACAUCAGAACUGUGCACAGCGAGGACGGCCUGGAUGAUUACCUGCAUGGAUUCUGACGUCACAAAGGAUGCCAGGAGCUGAGUGGAGAGGAAGCUUGUCGUCGGAGCUCAGGUCUUCAGCAAUGAGAAGGAACAAGCCAGAACUGCAGGCUGCCGUGACCCAGAGGUAGAGCACUGUAUGUCCAGACAGCAGACAUGUCCAGGAGCUGGGGCUGCCUACCCUGCCUCUUGGCUCUGAGGCAUCAGGAUCUGAGAGAAAAAACAGCUUUCACUUGAGACGCUGCAGUGGGACUCUCCUCAGGGAAAUGUCCAGAAAACAACUCAAAAUACACCUGGAGGCGUGGAAAUAGAGAGGGAGGAGUUCUGAAAGGAGCCUGAGACGCAGUGAGUCAGGUUAGGGAUGUUUCAUAGUGACUAAUUUUGAGUCACUUUAAAAAUACAGAAUCUAUAGAAUUUAACAAGUAAAUAUAUGGGCUUUGGAGAAGGGCAAGAGAAAGAGCAGAGCUAAAGUAACUCUGACAUGUUAAACUGAAUGGUUAUAGGUAACAUAGGACUUAGUAUGCUCCAAGGCUAUGCUAAGCGCUGGGCACAAGUUCUUGAUGGUAUAUUACCUACAAUUCACAUACAGCACUACCCUUAGGAACAAGGGUAAUUCUCAUUUUACAUACAAUUAUAGCUACAAGGCGGUCAACUCAAAUACAGGCAGUAUAUUUUACAACUAAUUGAUCCUGACAAGUUCAUCAGGAAGGUACACUGCUGAACAUGGACUAUGUCAUGGGUUUGUUAUUUCCAGUUUUCUCUGUGGCGAGUUAGCAGCUGAGAGCUCCAGUUUUGCAGAUUCCUGGGGCUACAGCGAUCAUGUCUAAGCUGUGUGGUACGGAACUGUGAGUCCUGGACGAUCCGUCAUUGUAAUACAACGUAAAAAGAAAACCCCUCUGCUGUUUUGUCUUCCUGUUUACAGGUUCCUCAACUAAUGGGUCUUUUUACUGUCCUUUAAGUCUGACACGGUGUUUCAAGUUCUGAUUACAGCCAUACUCCCUUUUAGUGCACUUUGCAGAUACUGUGGUUUCAUCAGCAUCAAUGCAAGACCUACCAGCAAAUGAUUACAACUUGCUGAAGGCUCAGAUCAUGGUCAGCAUCUUUUUAGCAAUAAAGUAUUAUUUAAGGGACAGGACAGCCAUCAUAGCAUCGUGAGCGGCAUGUGACUACGUGACUAUCAAAGUGCAUGAACUGUCUCAGACGUGAUCAGCUGCCUCCCCCGAGCCCAUCCCUCAUUGCCUUGCUCCAAGAGCUCCAAUGUUCAGGAACGUUGUGAGGAGACGCUCCCUGAACAUCCCACAGCCACAGAGGAUUCCGGAAGCACACUGAGUUCAGCCUGCCUGGGCAUCUCUGCUCACCACGUUUUCUCUGCUGGCAGUUCUCCCUGACCUUUGGCACAGCUGGCUUCUUCCUGUCAUUAAGACAUCCCCUAGGGGCCUUCUCUGUCUCCAGACAAUCCCACUGAGUCACUGUCACUUUAGCACACCUCCCACCUUAAUUUUCUUCACUGAGCACUGAUGACCAUCUACCGCGGUUCUCAACCUGUGGGUCGCGAGCCCUCUGGCGGUCGAACAACCCUUUCACAGGGCUCGCCUAAGACCAUCCUGCAUAUCAGAUAUUUACAUGACGAUUCAUAAUAG